CUGUCCUAGUCGCCCAGCGUGUCCCCGGCUUUGGGGGACACGCACACCCCUGCCCCAGCCCAGGCCGCACACAGGCACCCCUCCACUAACCAGACCACUCCCUGCAGAGGCAGCGUAGUGAGCACAUCUGAGCAUCGGCUGGGGUCUCACACGCAUCUCAAGAGAGUUCGUAAAGCAUCCCUUGCACACAGAAGCAGGAUUCUCCUGGAGACGGGCCGGCCAGGAAACGCACCCACCACCCCAUGCCUGUUGUCGCUACAGGGGCUCAGCUGGAGGCGGCUUAUGGAACAGUGGCAGAGAGCCCCUAAAAUGAAGCUUGCUGAUUGACCCGUGGCCUUGGUAACUGCUUCACUCAGAACGACAACCAACUACGAAUGGAGCGCCUGCUCCAUGCCAAGUGCUGGAGCAAUGGCAACCCACUCCAGUGUUCUUGCCUGGAGAAUCCCAUGGACGGGGGAGCCUGGUGAGCUGCCGUCUGUGGGGUCGCACAGAGUCGGAUGCGACUGAAGCGACUCAGCAGCAGCAGCAGACACCUUCAUAGAUACUCUACUGCAUCCCUUGGGAGUCUUGGAACAAAUUCCCUGAGGAAAAAGGGUGACUUAGACAUGAUCACUCCGCAGAUUCAACACUGGCAGUCUCGGUUCUUCACCAACAACCACAGAGGUCUACGGCCUUAUUUUCUUGAGAGGGAUUAAGAAAAGUUCAGUUGUUCAGAAGUCCUGGAUGACCCACUCUGUGCCCUGAGCACAGAGGCUGAGGUUGUAUAAGAGAAACGUAAGAUGCUGCUGGGGACCCUUGGACAAUCCUUCCUCAGAUGGUGAGGGGGGCGUCUUGACUAUUCAUCAUGGGACAAAAGUCCCGUCACCUAGGACCUCAGGGAGCAGCUGAAAUGUCACCAAAAGGGCGCAGGAAGGCCCAGGCUGUUCCAGUCCAUGAGGCUGUUUAUUUAAUUUCAACAAAGAGAAUGGAAAGCAUGGGAAUGCUCAACUUACAUCUUGUAGUCGAUCAUGAGAAUUUUAAAAUGUUCACCUCUUUGGAAACCUCUGUUGAAGAGGAGAAAGACUGGCCUCUGGCUGACCCAGAGGAGAGGGAGCUGUAGCUGGAUGCCAUUCCUGUGGGCCGUGGGGAAAAGGUGAGAGACCAGAGUGCAGUCACGCAGCUGGACUUCCUGCCCACUUCGCAGAAGCCACGAUGUGCCAAGUCUUCAGUUAUGCUGAGAGAGGAACGCAGGGAGAAUCCGGUGGUCGCUUAAUGUUACCUCCAGUGAAAUAAAAGGGAACUUGGUGAAAAGUCGCUUCCCGUGGGUGCUUUUGGUGUUCUGACCCUCUCACUCACUGUCUUCUGAAAAGAACAUACAGACUGGGAGUCUCGCAAGAAGGACAUUGGAUUUUCCCUGAAUGUCGUUGAGAACGAUUCUCUUAGAGACCUGGUCCCCAGCAUUGCUCCCCAGUUUCAACCGUGGGCCCCUCCAAUAGACGGCCUCCUACUCCCAAGACCCACGUGUCCCGGGGGUCUGCGCAUCUGACCUCGCCCUUGCCCUCUCUGGCUCCCUCUGCCCUCUCUCCCGUCCUGGACUGCGACACGCCCUUCCUCACCCGGCCUCUUUCCCAUCAGCCUUGCCGGCCAUCACUCUGGCUCUGUAGCAUCUGCUCCUCCUCUUUCCGAGGCCAGCUCACACAUGGCCCCCUCAGACGAGCUCCUCCUGAUCCCUGCGACGGAAACGACCGCGCACGCACACGCCGAGUCUGUCCGGUUCUUCAGUUACGCUGUCAC